AUUGAACGCUGGCGGCAUGCUUUACACAUGCCAGUCGAACGGCAGCGCGGGCUUCGGCCUGGCGGCGAGUGGCGAACGGGUGAGUAAUGCAUCGGAACGUGCCCAGUAGUGGGGGAUAGCCCGGCGAAAGCCGGAUUAAUACCGCAUACGACCUGAGGGUGCAAGCGGGGGACCGAAAGGCCUCGCGCUAUUGGAGCGGCCGAUGUCGGAUUAGCUAGUUGGUGGGGUAAAGGCUUACCAAGGCGACGAUCCGUAGCUGGUCUGAGAGGACGACCAGCCACACUGGGACUGAGACACGGCCCAGACUCCUACGAGAGGCAGCAGUGGGGAAUUUUGGACAAUGGGGGCAACCCUGAUCCAGCCAUGCCGCGUGCGGGAAGAAGGCCUUCGGGUUGUAAAACGCUUUUGUUCGGGAAGAAAUCCUCUGGGCUAAUACCCCGGGGGGAUGACGGUACCGGAAGAAUAAGCACCGGCUAACUACGUG
rnacentral:rRNA from 1 species